rnacentral:rRNA from 1 species
CUCAGCAUCAAAAUCAGGUACUUCUGACUUGUGGACUGCAGGGGUGAUGCCAACUUGGGUGCAGAUGUGAGUCUCUUGGAAUAGAGCGCCAGUGAGGGUCAGGGUCCCACUUGCCAUCUGUCAUCCCUUGUAGACGGCUUGCCCACAGAGAGUCGUGUUCUUCUGGAAUAGAGCACCAAUGGGUGGUACUCUUCGCCUUAGGAGCAUCAUAUCCUUGAGACCAAUAGUAAACAAGUACCAUGAGGGAAGGAUGAAAAGGACUUUGGAAAGAGGGUUAAGAGGACAUGAAGCUGCUGGAAGGGAAGUGGAGUGGACUUCUCUUUGUGGUAAGAUUGCAUAGUGGAUCUCUCACUAGUGAGACAAACACUGUGUGUGUCUUGCUGCUUGGUUGAGCUUUGUGUGGCGUCCAGAACCUCAACUUGAAUUGGCUGGAAGGUUGCGGCUUGACACAUGUCUGUUUUCUGUUGGCGCAACAACACACUUGUUCUACCAAAUGAUCCACUCUCACCCGUCUUGAAACACGGACCAAGGAGUCUAUCGCGUGUGCGAGUGAAAGGGGUCGAUGCCUGACAGCUCAACAAAAGUGACUGCUGGGAGUCUUGCGCCAGCAACCAACUGAUCACUCAAGAGAUGUUUGUGUGUGAGCAUACUUGCUAGGACCCGAAAGGUGGUGAACUAUGCCUGAGAAGAGCGACGUCAGGGGAAACUCUGAUGGAAGCUCGUAGCGCUACUGACGUGCAAAUCGUUCGUCUGACUUGGGUAUAGGGGCGAAAGACUAAUCGAACCAUCUAGUAGCUGGUUCCCUCUGAAGUUUCCCUCAGGAUAGCUGGAGCAGUACAGUUUUAUCAGGUAAAGCGAAUGAUUCGAGGCAUUGGGGAUACGCUAUCCUUGACCCACUCUCAAACUUUUAAUGGGUAAGCUCCACUGGUUGCCUUGGUGACGCAGGGGGCAGAAUUCAAGCUCUAGGUGGGCCAUUUUUGGUAAGCAGAACUGGCGAUGAGGGAUGAACCUAGCAUUGGGGUAAAGUGCAUGACUGCUCGCUCAUGUGACACCACAAAGGGUGUUGGUUCAUUUUGACAGCAGGACGGUGGUCAUGGAAGUUGAAAUCUGCUAAGGAGUGUGUAACAACUCACCUGCCGAAUGGACUAGCCCCGAAAAUGGAUGGCGCUGAAGCGG